rnacentral:lncRNA from 1 species
UUGUCCAACCAAGAGAAUCUCAAGCUAUUUGUAACCACCUUAGGAUCAUUGGUGUCUCAGGUUGAUCAGUAUGUUCUAUUGUUGAGUACACAUCAAGUCGACGUGAUUCCGAUGUCCCAGAAGCUGAAGGUCAAUCUGUGCACCGUGGUCUGCAGAUCAAAACUACUUAAUCGCCUAACAAACAUAUUGAUUUGUUCUAGGUGAGAGGGGGUAUUUUACAGCCGCAAGCUUAUCACUUUUGGCUCCCAUCAGAAACCUAGUAAAGCGCGGAUUCCACCAAGACAAGAGCUGAUGUGACAAAUAUUGAGAGUGUGCAAGACACCAGUUCUCGUGUCGUCAGCUGCCUGGAUGUCGAUGGCGCCAAGAAAUAGUUUCAGGCGAAAGAAAUUCCUGUAUAUAGCAGCACUGCUAUGCCAGCUUGCAGCAGCUACAUCUCGUCCUGCACGUCAAAGCGAGGACGUCCCGCUGUUGCAAGUCAACACCACGGCUCUAAACAGAUCUGGCGAGUGGGUGGAGGUGGGGGUUCUCAGAAUUAUGUUUGCCAGUAGCUACAAUGUACCAAGUGGAUCUAAAAUGUGUUAGGCCUUUUCCCUACAUGUCUGUGAAGGGACAGAAUCAGAUCUUAGGAAGCACACAAGAAAGCAAGAGGGGCACACAUAUCCCACACUCAUGCUGCGCAUCUGCAGGUGUCAUGGAGCGGCAUUCGAUCACCAUCGAUACAUGAUGCAGUCGCCCUGGUGGUGCCUGCUGAUGUGGACUAUGCACAAACUGCGCCGGCCAAGCACAAGUGGGCCAGCGAGUCACCCAUGCACCUGAAGGAGGGAUCAGGAAGCUUGAAGU